CCUACGGGUGGCAGCAGUGAGGAAUAUUGGUCAAUGGACGCAAGUCUGAACCAGCCAUGCCGCGUGCGGGAAGACGGCCCUAUGAGUUGUAAACUGCUUUUGUACGAGGGCAAACGCAGACACGCGUGUCUGUCUGAAAGUAUCGUACGAAUAAGCAUCGGCUAACUCCGUGCCAGCAGCCGCGGUAAUACGGAGGAUUCAAGCGUUAUCCGGAUUUAUUGGGUUUAAAGGGUGCGUAGGCGGUUGGAUAAGUUAGCGGUGAAAUCCCGAGGCUCAACUUCGGAAUUGCCUCUGAUACUGUUCAUCUAGAGAGUAGUAGCGGUAUGCGGAAUGUAUGGUGUAGCGGUGAAAUGCUUAGAGAUCAUACAGAACACCGAUUGCGAAGGCAGCUUACCAAGCUACUUCUGACGUUGAGGCACGAAAGCGUGGGGAGCAAACAGGAUUAGAUACCCGGGUAGUC
rnacentral:rRNA from 1 species